UAUAACCCUAACCCCCUCUUCGUGUCAAUUGAAGGUGAUGCCAUCAAAUUAGUUUGUUGUCAACCUCCAAAGAAAUUAACCCCAUCAUUGUGGUAUGUCUAGCUAACCAAAUUUGACUUUAAAGAUACCAAAUAUGCUAAGUUUACAAUUCCCAAUUUAUAAAAUCCUGCAUGAUUCGCUGAUCACAGCCUUAAAAAAACACCAAAUUGAUGCUCAUCUCAUCACCAUGAAACACCAUUAGUGGUCUUCUAUUCAAUCACAAAACCCCGUCGAUAAUUUUUUUAAAUAGAAAAACCCGAAACCUAACACAUCCAAUCGAAUUUUCUCUCUCCUCUGCGCUGAUUGCGCUGUUGAUCCUUCUCCGCCGGCGACCUACGACUGUGUUCCAUCGCCACCUAAUCUCGGAACCAGAGCCACCAUUGUCGCCCACUUGAAUCUGCAUGUGCACACGCCACCGACGUUUCCUCCUCUCGCUUGUGGUGCUGCAACGUUGUUGGAGUCUUAAUUGCUGAUUAUUGUUGUUGUCGACCUUGUCGUUGAUGGUGUUGCUAUUUGUUGCUAGCCCGAGGUGUCGCACUCCUCCUUUAUCUCUUUUUCCUUAAUUCAAGAAUUGAAAUAAAAUUGAUUGAAGAUGGUUAAUUAGGUUGGAUGAUUGAUGUUGUUUCUGCCAUUUUAAUUGUUGUAUUGUUGCUGCUAACAUUGUCGUUGCUUUUGCCAUUUAUUUGUUUAAGAAUUGUUCUUGUUUUAUCAUUGUUUUAAAUGUUGGUUGAUUGAGAUUCUUAAGUUACUUUAUAAAACAAAUGAAUAUUAAGUUAUGAAUUUUAUAUCUCACAUUAGUAAUAAGUGAGAUAAUUGGGUGGUUAGUUAAAGUUCUAACUCGUGGGUUUCUUAGAAUAUAAUAAGAAUUUAUAAUGAAAACUAUGAGAAGGAACUUGUAAAUAAUUGGAGAAAGGAGUUUAAGGUGAUUGUUGGAUUAUGAAUUGAAUGAUUUUUUCCGUACGUGGCAAUUUGGAAUUUAGUAUCGAAGUAUGUGGCAAGAUGGUAACCAUCCGUAUCUCUAGUGUGAAUGUUCAUGGACUCCCGAGUCAUAAUAAAAGCUAGAGUUGGGGGGUAUGCACACUAGAGGUUAUUAAAUGUAAUGUCAGGGGCUACAUAUUAAAUAGACUUUCAGGGUCUCCCGUGUACAUAUUAAAUACACUUUCAGGGUCUCCCGGGUCUUAUCUAUUGUUUAGAUUGUCAAGGACUCUCGGAUCUACUUAGAAUGGAGAAUUAAGGAAAUUUUGGAAUACAAAGGGACGAUAUUGAGAUGAUUGGUAAAGAACUCCAAUAGCUAACAAUAACACAAUUUGUUUUAUCUUUUGCUAUUUCAAAGUUAUCUGAAAACAACAAUGUUAUGAAAUUCAUAAGUACUCGUUAUUAGUGAAGGAAAUAAUGCCCUUGGUCCAAGUAUGCAUUCAAUGAUAAGUCUAAUAAAUGCGGUUCAGUAUUAAUUAACAAGUUAAUAAUUCAGUGAGAUCAAGUGAGCUGAAUGCCUAGCUAGAGGCCGCUUCAGUUCAAGUGGAAUUAAUGAUAUUAAUCCACAGCUUACUCUUGACUGAACCCGUAGGGUCACACAAAUAGUACGUAAACGGAUCAAGUAUUUAAUGGCAUUAAAUACUCUAUCUAUAGAUAUUCGGAAUCGACGGAUCUUGGUUUCAGUGGGAGCUGAGAUCGUCACAAGCAAGUGAAUACUCCGGAAACGAUGAUAUUGCCGGAAACGGAAAUAUGGAUCGCAUCGGAAAUAUAAAUAUUAUCCAAGUCGUAGAUUUUGCCGGAAACGGAAACAUGGUACGUAUCGGAAAAUAUUAUCGGAAAUGGAAAUAUUGCCGGAAUCGGAAAUAUUGCCGGAAACGGAAAUAUUGUCAGAAUCGGAAAUAUUAUCGGAAUCGGAAAAUAAUUCCGGAAACAGAAAUAUUAAAUAUUUGUUCGAAACGGAAAUUAAUUCCGGAAUCGGAAAUAUUAAAUAUUGUUCGUAUCGGAAAUGAAUUCCGGAACCGGGAAUUUAAUCGGAAGCGUAUCGUACGAAUUAGUAUCGGACGAGGCCUGCCGGACGAAGGCCCAGCACGAAGCUGGGCCAUCGCCCAGCAAGCAAGACGCACGCCAACACGCACAGCCCAUGGCAGCGCCAGGCCCACCGCAAGGCAGGCCCAGCGCGCCAAGGCAUGGCUGCGUAGCGUGGGCCAAGCACACACGCAUGGGCGGCCCUCGUGGCUGCCGUGCGUGUGUGUGUUUGUGUCCAUGCACAAUUCCUAAAUCUAUUAGGAUUUGGUGUAUGAUUAAAUUCCUAUUCCUAAAAGGAUUAUUUAAUUAAUUAGAGUCCUUGUAGGAUUCUAAGUUUAAUUAAAUCGUAUCCUACUAGGAUUCCAAUUCCCUUUCCAAACCUCUAUAAAUAAAGGCCUAGGGUCAUAAUUUAUGCAUAUGGGAUUGAAGUAUUCUAAGGGUAAGUUUUGAAAGAAAAAUAAGCCAAACACUUGCAAACACUUAACCGAAUUUCCUAGUAACCUUAAGGGCGAUUCUAGUUGGUCUAACUUGAGGCGGAUCCGGACGUACUGUGGACUAUCUACGGAGGGACGACAUUUGGAGUCCUAAAGGCUUGUUCUUGUUCGGUUAGGGCGCAGCUAGGGAGGGCACUCUACAAAGGGAGAUGCAGGUAAUGAUGAUUGAGGUUGGGCACGUGGGAGUGAGGACUUCUUUAUUCCAUCUAAGUUUUGCGAACUAAGUGAAGUUGGGAACCUAGUUAAAAUGCACUUUUGUGGAAGACUUUACUAUUUGCGUAUAAGUGAAUUAAAUUCCUUUAGUUAUGUAAUAUGAAUAGUAUUUAGUUUUUGUAUCUACGUGAAAAGUAGCAGUAACCCUGAUGGUGUAUUGCGAAAUUUUGUAUGUUGGAAUGAUGUAUUUGAAGCAGGUUAAAGAAAAUAUGACGUAAUUUCCUAAAUAAAAUUUUAGGUUGUCCAUAUUUAGAGGAAGUGCUGUCGAACUUUUUAAUAAUUAUUAAGUGUAAAAUUUAAUUAGUGUUUUUAAGAUAGGCUCAAAUAGAGGGGGUAUUAUAGGCAAGUUCACGGUGUGGAAUGUGGAUUAUGAUGAAACAUUUUACGAUUAUGAUUAUGAAAUGUUAGCAAUUGGUUCAUUUUA